GGAGGGGCUGCACUGCACCGAGCUUGCACAGGGCGAGGCGGGGGCAGGACCUGGGACCCAGCCACCCCGGAGGAAACCGGAGAGGAAACCAGCUUGGUCUUGCUCUCUGCCUCGUCCCAAUCCCCGGCUCUUACCAAAUGCAGAUCCGUUGGCUGAAUGCCUUUUAGUCUGCAUACAUGCAUCUCAUACCGCACAGCCCAAAUUUCUACAACUUGUCCAGGUGCAGUCUCCUCAGAACUACAAAGCAAGAAAAGAUCACCUUUGGGCUCAGGAACUCACAGUCGUUCUCCCUCUCCCGGAAGGCACAAUGACCAGGACAGUACCGAGCUUUACAGCCAUAUUGAACUCACCAUCAACUCAGCACAUUCAACUCAAUCAGUCAAAAUCGUCUUUUCCUGCUGGUAAAUAACACUGAAAUGAUGGGACCCAAAGCCCAACAACUGGUGUCCUUGUAAGAGAGAGGAAAGGAAGAUUGGACAUACGCAGACAUAGAAGAGACGAC
rnacentral:lncRNA from 1 species